UGAAUGACCUUAUUUCAUGUAAUCAUGCAAAUUUUUGUUCCUCGUAUUAAUGUUCAUCCUUUUAGAAUUUAGGCUGACAGGAUUUUACUUUACAAAUAAAGCAAUUUUCACAAUGUAUAGAAUGUGUAAAAGUCCUUGGUGAAAUCAACCUUUUACAACUUCUUCAUAGAGUAACAGAAAAAAAAAUCCAGAUAUGUUUUCAUCUGAAUAGUUCAGAUAGACAAAUUAAAAAUUUUAUGGAGCCUGUGAUAGGUUGUCACUAAAUACUGAUAACUAACUCAAUUUAGAAUUACUACUUUGUACACAUUUUAGCUAAAGUACAUUUGAAUUUCUUGUAGGAUAAUUAAGCAUUGCAUGUCAGAAUCUUACAAGAAAUUUGUUAUUUUUGAAAUAAUUCCUUGUAUAUCUCAUCUUAACUGCCUAAUUUUAGGUUCUAGGUAAACAUUAUCCUUUUUUUCAUCCCUAGUUUUAGCUAACAUAUUUCAUGUAUCACCAUAAGAAAAAGUGCUUUCUUUGAUUUUUCGUGAGAAUGAUUUCAAGCCAUGUUGCAGGAAAACAAUGCUCUAUUUCCAAGUUCUUUCACAGACUGCUAAGAUAAUACUGCCUUAUGAAUGUUUUCCAUGACUAAUAACAUAAAAAAGUAGAUGGAGAGUUAAAGAUAGUAGAAAAGCUUAUUUAUUUAUUUUUUCUUUUCAAAGUCUAGGCAUGAAAUCCCUGCUCCUCCAGCAAUAUUUUUACUUUGUCAUUUCUCUGCUGAGUAGAAAGCAGGGAUUCAACACACACUUCAGAAUGUCAGAGCAUGGUAUUUUACUGAACAGAACCAGAACUUGGAUCUGUGGUGUAAGAAGCUUGUGCAAAAUAGCACUUUCCUAUUAGCCUCAGCUACAUUCCACUUAUCCAAGACAGACCUUGUGUUGGUAAUAUGGCUGUAAAUUAGGCACCAUGAUCACUUUUAACCAUGUUACUGAACUGGAAUCUGUAUGUUGUGUCUUAAGCAGUGAAUCAGUUCUGGUCUGGAGUUAACUGCUCUUGUAGAUCCUGAGUUUGCCUUAUAGGCUAUGAUAGGCUGUGGAUUUGGUUCAGCUCACCUCUGUUGAUUUGAAGCACUUGGGUGGGAACCUUCCUUGAUAGUGUAUUUGAGUGGUGUCAACUAACUUGACUAGUACAAAAGGACUUAGGGAACAUGAGCAUAUCAAGAAUUACUGAGGAGAACUAAUAAUAGAUUUUUUAAUUGAAACAAUCUAUAUAUUUAAUUAUUUUCUUUAGAAGACCCAAGGGACUUUUGAACGAGAAAACCAUUAUCUGUAGAAAACUGAGCCAGUGUAGGCCAGUCACAAAGGAAGCAACUGUAAUUUUUGUGAUAAUCCAUCCAGCUGUAUGGUUCUGCUGUUUGCAGUGGUAGUUUCACCUGCUUUUAAUGGGUGAUGCCACAUGAGAUGAAUAAUAUCUUAAAAAAAUGCUUCUACAAUUAUUUAGGAGUUAGGCCAAAGUCUCUUGCUCCUCUUUCCUACAAGAAUGAGAGGAAAACACUGCACUGUAUGCAAGAAGGUAUUAUGAAGAAUAAUCAUUCAGUGAGCAGCUGCAACAUGCAUUAUAAGUGGUAAAUGUUAAUAAAAGCAUACAAACUCAGAAUAUAUUAUAAAAGCCUACCCCAAGAGACAGUCUUCUAACUCAAUCAGUAUUUUGUUGUUCUGUCUCCUGGAGAGCAGGGUACUGCUAGUAAAUACAUAAUGAGUAUUUACCACAAGUCUCUUGGUAUUUCUUGAAUGAUCUUAAAAAGCACAGUUAUGAAUCAUCAUCUUUAUCUCUAAAACCAUCUUCAGCAUCUACCUCGGAGAUGCUCUUUCCCCUUCCCUGUUCUCUGAAGUAGCCAGGCAGAGCGCACGAUCCUCCUCCUUACUGGUGAAGACUUCUCCUGGCUUCAGAAGACUCAUCACCUGCCAAUUCUGUAUCUGUCAGCAGACAAUCUCCUGUAAGCCACUGAUUCACGUUCUGUCAGUAGAGUCGCUGGACAUUAAGGCUGAGCAGUUUGAAAGAAAAAACAUGAGUCUACAGCUGUUCUUUGUAAAGUUCAGUGAAACACAGACAACCUUGAAGCAGAAACCUCUGUUUGAUCUCAACUUGUUUUCCUACUUCAGCAUCCACCCAAUUUAUCUCAAGCAGAGGUGUAUGCUGCUUGCAACUAUUUGAGACAAGCAGAUAUUGUACAUAGAUGCUUAGAGGAUGUACACAAAGGAGAAAAUCACCUGUCUGCCAUAAUGGACUUCAACUGAUGAAAAUGGGCAGAAAGAUUCAUCUUGUACAAUAAAAGAGAAGCCAUUUCUGGACCCUGAAGCAAGAAUGUGACUUUCUUCGAUAUUAUAUUCACAUAUUAUUACCAAAAUAUUCUCUGAAAAGAAAUGUUGAAAGAAUAUCGGGGAGAAUGAUACAAGAUGAAGCUCUCGGAUGAAAAUCUCAGGUCAGUGAAGAAACAGUCAAACCCAAUGAAUUCUCUUUCGAGUUAACUUCAUGCUUUUAGUCUAUGAAUCUGGGGGGGUCUGUGGUUUUACCUAGUCCAUGAAAAAAUUGAAAUAAGGCAAUUGUUUUAUCAGACCAUCCUGCAUAUUCAAGAGGGAGUUAUCUUCUCUGUUAGCCAACCCUUGGAGGACUGCUUCAAGUAGCUGACUCCUUGACAAUAAAAGGAUUUAGUGAACAAUUCAUGAUCAUGACUCAUGUAACUUUGCACAUUUUAUUCUAAUACUCUUUUUGUAAUGUUGUUUCAAAAAGCAAAAUAAAAGUUUUCUUUUAAUUAUGACUUCUAAGAGGUUUUUUUUUUUUUCUAUUGACAAAUCAUAGAUAAAAUACCAUUUCCCAUUCUUUCAGUAACUUUUCACUUAACUGACCUUGUUUCAUGUUACUUUUUCCACCUUUUCUAAGCUAACCUGGCAGUAAAAAUAUCUGUGUUUAAACCAAAAUAAACAUCAAAUAGUACAGAAAAUAACAUUCUAUGGCUAAACGAUAGUGAAUCUAUUGAGAGGGACAUAUACAUUGUGGAGGCAAAUCAUUGCAUAGGCAAUAUGUUUGUAAAUACCAAUACAAGGAGAAACAGAAAUUUUGCAUGAACUGUUGAGCUUGAAGAAAAUCAGGGAAGAAGAUUCAGUGAGAUCUUUCUGUAUCACAGUUAAACUAUUUCCUAACGUUUCUAUCUGUAACCUAUUGAUGGGGCUUCAUAAGCAUGAUAGAAGUUCAUUUGCAAGACAUUUACUAGAAUUUGUACAACCAUUAUUUUGCUGUUUGAUUUAGUAAUUCUCAGGUGAGUUGUAUGUUUUCACAGAGCAAACAUAAUAUUUUACUCUAUUCUUUUCCUCUCAUGUUAGAGAACCUAGGAAGUCUACUUUUCAUGGCAAUAUCAAAAUAUAAUCAAAUAAUGUUUAGAAUUAAGGAAAACAAGUUUUGGAUAAAGUUUAUGUUUGACAAAUAAACGUUUAGAUGAGAUUUUUGUUUAAACUAGCUGCUUUAUUUUCUUUUUCUGUCCUUCCCACCUGUCAGAGGAGCUCACUCCUUGACUGGAAGAAAAUUUAGUGUGAAUUAAUUUUAAAUGGGACUAAGCCAACUCAGUUUUCCUAGAAAAGAGUCUCUGUGUGUCUGCAGAGGUCUUGUCAACCUGUCUUAGAGCCAGAAAUUCCUUUACCUCAAUUGCUUGAUCUGGUAAACAUCCUCUACCUGUUCCUAGUGCAGUUGGGGAUUGGAAAAAAUUGUGCACACUCUGAGAUGAAGGCCUUCAUUCAGAAUAAACUUUUGCUUAAUGCUUUACUUGUGAGUCAUACCUUAUUAUCGCAUUAUUUAAUGCAGUGAAAAUACUUACAUGCUACAUCUAUAUGAAAUCAUCUUGUUUGGCAUUUAAGGAAAAGCUGCUUCUGUGUUGUACAGGUGGCAAACUUAUUCUGAACUACUUGAAUAUUUUAACAAUGACAUUAUAGCCAUGUUUUAAGGUGAAUUAUUUUCUUUCAGUUUUGACUAGAAAAAUAAAUGCAUGAUUAAUUCCUCAGUUUCUAUUUCCACCUGCUUGUGAUGUCUUCAAAGUUCACGUUCUGGAUACAUGUAAAAUUAGUAUUAUAUAAGAUUUCACAGACUAUCGCAAAAACUUAUCCUGGACGGAGAGGACGGCAUAAUUGGUGGCCUGGAAAUUUGAUUAAAACUAACUAAUCUAAGGAAAACCAGGAGCACUAUCUUCAGCUUCCAUGGAGAAUUUUUGCAGAUAACCAAGUUCCCUGAUUUGUCUCUCAGUCAAAACCACAAAAAAGAAAUGAGUUCUUUUAUUUUCUUUCACUUACUUAUUUAUCAUAUUUUAUUUAUUUAUUUACUUAUUUAUUUCAUCAGAAACAUUUACCAUAGAUACUCAUUAAUCUUGGUAAGCACAAACUGAUAAAAAUGAUAUUGCUAGUACUCAUAGAUCCCAGGUAUGUGUGCAAUUUUCUAGUUAAAAAUAUCCCCCAUCCUCCUGUAGUGUUUUCACAAACAGCAUUGCUGAAUUACUUUGAAGUCAGUAUAUCCACAGAAGAGCUGGGAGUUGGUAUAACAGAACUUUUUUUCAUAUAUUCCACUGUUCCCUGUGAAAUAAAAUAAAAUAAAAUAAAAUAAAAUAAAAUCCAAAAUUUCAUACAAAGAAUACCUAAUAGGCUUUUGGUGCCCUAGUGUUCUAAUUACUCAGCCUUUUAUAAAGUAGCGUGUUACUCCAACAGAAUAUAUGUAAUUUCCUUGUGAAUUUUGCAUAUCUCAAUGUGAAUUCAUUUUUGUUUCCAAAAUAAUUCAGUUACUGAGAAUUUUAUUCCAGGACAGAGGUAGGACUCUAAACUAGGAAGAAAAAAGGUUUACUGCAAGUGUUAUGCUGCAGGGAGAAAUAUUUUGUUCUGUUUUUUUUUGGAGAAUAUAUUCACUUGAUCUGACAUUUGCAUGAAAUCUGCAUCUCUUCAACUUCUCAACUGCUUUUAUAUGGAUUCUUCAUGAGUUAAGAAUGUUGAGUUAAUGAAAUUGUUCUAUAAAUAUGAUUGCUUGGGUGGCAGUAAUAAAGAUGAAUCCAAAAAUUCUUAAAAGAAAAAGAAUCCUAGUUAGAUAAUGUGUAAUAAUAUUUGAACAGCAGGAAACACAUUUCUUCACUGAACAAACCCUCUCUUCUGUCACAUUCUAUAGAUUUCUACAGAUUUACAAUUAUUUAUACUUCAUGUAAGGAAUAACUAGUGAAUUUACAGUUAAGCACGCCUGACUUAUUCAAAAGAACUAAUCUUUUUUAACUCAAUGAAGUUCUUAUCUUAGAAGAUGAAGAGUAAUUUUCCCAAAAGUGUGUUUGAGGAAGAUCAUAUAAAGACAUUCAUUCUUGUUACAUACAAACACUUGCUCCAAGACUGAUUUUUCUUGUCACUGAUCUUCCUUUUAUUCUUUCCACAUUUUCUGUAUAGGAAUAUUCUGCCAGGCUAAAUUAGGUUUUUGGCUUUUUUAAUCAUUAAAAGCUAUCAGUUAGAUAUGUUCCCUUAAUAGUGAUAACUUGGAGGUGGAAAAAAUGGAAAUGAAUUGAAAUGUCCUUAUCCUGAUAUAUUCUUGUGAUCCACAUAUUUUUUUUAAAUGGAAUUUAUGCUAUGCAUCUAUGCAUUUUAAAAUAUUCUUGCCCCAUAUAGAAUAUUGGAUUUUUAAUGGGAUGAUUUAUUUACUCCUCAUUAAUGUGCUGUAGAAUUGAAAAUUUCUUAUUAGUCUGAGGAAGUUUCAGUAGAAAUGCGGGUGAGUUAAACAGAUGAGUAGUAUUUUGUUACAGUUCCUGUUCACUGUGUGUCUUGUUCUUUCAACAGUAAUACUGUUUAUGAACAAGGGGCUAGCUGAAAUCAUUAUAGAAAAAAAAAAAGUUUUAAAUUAAUGGGGAAGUUUAAAGCGAGCGAUCUUUAAAAAUAAAAGUCAUUAUUCACAUAAUCCUAGAAUCUGAAAUUUAAGUAUAUUUCUUGUGUCAGAAAUGACAGAAAUGUAUAAUAAAUGGCUAUGUUGAAAUUCUCAAGUAUAAUACAUAUAUGCUGUUAUCAUUGCAAGUAUCAUUUCUUUAAUUAUGAGAAAGCUAGCAGCCCUUAAGCAUCCAGAGUAAUGACUGAACUAAUUUUAUUAUUUUUUUUAACUGUAACUUAAAAAAAAAAAAACAAAAAAAAAAAACAAAACAAAAAAACCACCUUUGGUAUUUGUUUCCUUAGUUUAAAUAUCUUUAUAGUUUAUUCUCAAGCAAAUUUUAUUAUGCUUCUCCAUAAUAAUUGCUACUAUCUUUGUGGUACCAUUUCCUGCUAAUAUACACAGAUUUAGUGUUCACUUUCUAAAUAUUAAAAAAAAAAGAAAAAACACCACACAAACAUUACCUAUCACAACCUCAUUUUGAGUUUUAGCUCUUUUUUCCAUUUUUUUUCCACUUAGAAUAAAAAAGAAUGAUUACAAUACAAUACAAUGUGAGACUUUUAGUCCAAUUUUCCUUUUUCAGUAGUCAAAUCCAUUUUCAACAGUCACUCAAUUUAAAUAUAGUCUAGAGAAGAAAAAAAAUGACUUAAGAGUAUAAAAUGAAAUGCUCAGAGUAAACCUACCAGAAAUAUCUACUUUGCUUGCCUUGUGAACAUAUAAAAUCUCUUUUUAUAUGUUUUUAUGAACGGAAAUUCAAUGUACUAAUUGCAACACUCCAAUUAUUUUUUUUAAUAUGUGUGUUAUAUAUGUCUGAAUAACAGUUAAAUGUUUUCUUUUUUAAGCUUUCAUAUUUUGUUGGGGAAAAAAAAGGCAAAAAAUAAAAUUCCAGCAAUUAAGGAAAAGACUGUUGUAUGCCUUGAGCCCUCGAGCCAAUCACAGUCACUUAUGUGUGAAGGAAUCAGAUGUUUUCCUGCUGAGGACAGAUUCCACACUUCUCCCUGCUAACUCAGCUUUUAUUAGCUUUGAAAUAUUUUUGAUGAAGCAUUGCCGCAGGCAUGUGGUAAGCAAGGUGGUUUACCUUCCGUUAUUUGUCAUUGAAGCAGUAUAAGGAAAUAAUGUAUAAUCUAAUAGCUAUUUUGCUGCUUAAUAGCUUGACAAGAUUAUGCAAUAUGGAAACUGACUGAAAGUAGCCAAGUUUUUUUCAAGUAGAUGCAAUAUAGGCAAUUGUUUGCUUUUUGUUGAUACUGUUCAGGAAUAAAGCCUCUGAAAGGUACUGUAAGUCUGCAUCUGUUACCAAAGUUCAAAAUGACCAGUUGUGACUGAAACUCUUGCCCUUGGCAGCUGUGGUGGCUUUGCUCACAGCCCUGCUGCUGGGCUCCACCCUGCUCAAAUCAUCCUUGCUCUUGUGAAAUUGCUCUUGCUCUUGCUCUUGUGAUUCUGUGAAAUCUUUUGUUUACCUUCUUUUUGAGUCCUUCAUUCAAUUCUUGGCUUUUUAAAACAGAAAUUGAGUAACGUCUACAGUGCAGCCAGUGAUCGCUUUUUAACCUGUUCCUGAUUUGUCUUAGAGAUAAAUUCUGCCUGUUAGAAUACACACUCCUCUUCCAUUCCCUGACCGGAAAAAAAAAAAAAAAAAAAAAAAAAAAAAAAAGAGGAUUGAUUUUCCAUUGCCUCUGUGCAGUUUUAAUAUGAUAGCAAGGCAGGGUGUCUGACGUUUCUUCUCAUCUUCCUGUUUCUGAUGUUUCCAGGUAAGCUAGACUCUGAUUAGAUGAAAUUCAUGAUCAAACAGUUACAUCUUGAGCUAUUGGGAAAGUUUUUGUUUCCUCCAGAAUUUUCAAAAUUAAUAGAGAAACUGAAAGCUAGAUAUUUGGCAAUAAGCCUGUGAAACUAGCUGUAGAAAAUUUCACCAUAAGUCUACAGGAUGGUUUGUUGCAAUGACUUCCUCAUAUGACACCUUCUGAUCUUCUUUCCUUCAGGCAAGUCAGACAAAGCAUACUUUAAAGUGGCAGCAAAAUGAUUCACAAUAAAUUUGGAAAUAGGCUGUUCACAUUUGAGAAUCUCCUUUGAGUUUUUCUAGCCUUAAAUGGUUUAAUGAUUUCUGUCUUUUUCCACUUUGCUUAAUUUUUGGAAAAAGCUGAUUUCCCUAAAGUUUGUGUUUGGUAAGCAUAUAUAUUUACCAGUGUUGAUGAGGGCAUGACAGGAUAUAUUGCUCUGGACAUGCAGAAGCCUUCAGAUUCAACUGUAAAAUUGAACACAUUCAGGGAAUGAGUGUCAGACCUCCAUGUUACUGUUUAGCAACUUGUGGGGAUCAACCCUGCAAUUAAAUCAAUUAUCUCAUUUUACAUAAAAUAAGCUUCGACGUGGAAUCAGACUCACUGAUUUUGAUUUCUUAUAAUUUUGAUUCAAAUAAUAUUAAGUGAACAAAUUAUAGUAUACUGACCAUUUUAUAUGGGUGAAUAUCCUUUGAAUCUGUCCUAGAGGAAAUUUAAUCAUGCUAUCAUCAGAUUUCAGUAGUAGAACAGCCCAGUGAUUGCUUGCAGUCCCCAUAAAACUCAGAAAGUCCCUUUGGAUUUGUGGGAGCUUUCUCUUUAGAAAACAUGGAGGAUUAAGUACUAAAGCUGAUCAAAAUAUUCUCCCUGUAAAAUAAUAUUUUGCCAAAAAAUUAUGGUUUCAUAGGAUAGUUCAGUUGGACAGAGGACUCAGAAAGCCCUUAUGCUCCCCUGCAUACAGCUGGGCUGGCUGUAAGAUCAGAUCAAGCUUGGGGCUCUGCUCUUGGACAUGCCCUGUCCCUCUGCUUGGUGGCCCCCUUGCUCAGGACCCUCUGCUUCCAGCCCUUGCCUGCCCAGCCUUGUGGCCCAGGCACACAUGAAAUUAUCUGGUGGGGUGUCUACAAAAUGCCCCCAAAGCACCAUCUGGAUGAGCUCUGCCAGCUCAGCCUCUGCAUGAGUUGGGUGAUCUCACUCCAGGCGGUUGGUGCUGGUCUUGUGCUGAGGGCCCAGGCCUGGUCUCAGCUUUUCAGGCGACGCCUGUUGACAAGUCCUGGGCAGAGGGGACAGCUCUGCCCCAUCUCCUGGUUGUGUUCCUGCUGACCCAGCCCUGGAUGCCACAGACCAUCUCCACUGAUAGGGAUUGCUGCAGACAUCAAGGCAAACCAGGGGCAAAGGCGUGGCUGAACUACAGGUAAUAGCCAUCUACCACUCUUCCUUUGUGCACAGAUCUGGCCAAUUUAGCACAUAAGGCAUUUAGAUGGGUCAUAUGUGAUUUAUGGCAAAUCCAUCUGGACCAUUCCCAGUCAUGUUCUCCUUUAUGUGUCAUCAGCUCUUCCAAACUUCUGAAGAAGUUUUGAGAGAAAGGAGAUCCUGACUUUAGUUCAAUGGAUUACAGAGUUGGGAAGUAGUUGAAAACUUUGUUCUAUUGCUCUGAAGUGAAAAACUGUACUGCGGAUCAAGCAGCCUAUUGACCUGAGAUGGCAUCUUUUACAAAGCCAGCCCAAGUAGACAGGAUGCUCAUGAGGACAUUGUUUCCCACACUGAUUUAUUUUGUGGAAAACUGUCUGUACCCUGGAAAACUAAAGCGCUUCUAGUUCAGUAGAAAUCAGCGAUAAUUCUGAAAUUAUCUGAGUUGCCUAGUAAAAGAAUCUUAUAGUUUCAGCUGUUAUGAAGCUCAAAUGUAUUUGGUUUCAUAGUAUCUAGAAUAGAUAAGUGUGACACUAAAUAGUGGCCACUCAGAGUAGCACUGGAUUAAAAAGCAAACAAUCAAACAAACAAAAGCUAACAAUAGCUUAAAUUAUUGGAAGUAGUUAUUAUUCUGUAUGUGUACUUCAAAGAACUUUUUACUGAUGAAGUCACAGAAUCUCUAAUGUCUGCUUGAAUUUGAAGGACAGCAUAUUUAAUGUGGGAUUUAUGUAGGUUUGCCUGGCUAAUUAACAUGCAGAUUAAUCAAAGAGCUGAGGAAGAGCACAGUAUUUGACAAACCUUUACUAAGUCUGCAGUAGCGUGAUGGAAGACAAAGAAGUUUGUAGUGAUUACAUCUUGUCAAAUAUACAUUUUCAAGAGAGUAGUCAUUAAAGCGUGAUUUUGAUUUAAAAACAAAACAAAAAAAAAAACAAAAACAAGCAAACAAACUGUAAAGCAAAUUAACAGAGUCUAAGGUCCUACAUAACCUGAUAAAAUUAUAAAGUGGUUUUGGCCGCUUGGGAUAAAUAUGGAGAUUUGGGAAAGAAUAAUCAUGUGGUAGUGGUUGACUUGUGAAAAAAGCAAUGCUUGUCAUCACAAAUUACCAUCAUGAAAGAAAUUCAAGGUUUACUGACAUUUAUACUGGGUGGAUCAGUGAAGCUCUUUGAAGACCAGCUGCAUUUUUCACGAAAAAAUGGGCUAUGCUAUAAUUUGUGCAUUUUAGGGGG